rnacentral:rRNA from 1 species
AGCUAGAGUUUGAUCCUGGCUCAGGAUGAACGCUGGCGGCGUGCUUAACACAUGCAAGUCGAACGAAGCGAUUUGACGGAAGUUUUCGGAUGGAAGUCAAAUUGACUGAGUGGCGGACGGGUGAGUAACGCGUGGGUAACCUGCCUCAUACAGGGGGAUAACAGUUAGAAAUGACUGCUAAUACCGCAUAAGCGCACGGAAGCGCAUGCUUCUGUGUGAAAAACUCCGGUGGUAUGAGAUGGACCUGCGUCUGAUUAGCUAGUUGGUGAGGUAACGGCCCACCAAGGCGACGAUCAGUAGCCGACCUGAGAGGGUGACCGGCCACAUUGGGACUGAGACACGGCCCAAACUCCUACGGGAGGCAGCAGUGGGGAAUAUUGCACAAUGGGGGAAACCCUGAUGCAGCAACGCCGCGUGAAGGAAGAAGGUUUUCGGAUUGUAAACUUCUAUCAAUAGGGAAGAAAGAAAUGACGGUACCUAAAUAAGAAGCCCCGGCUAACUACGUGCCAGCAGCCGCGGUAA